rnacentral:rRNA from 1 species
UACGUAGGGUGCGAGCGUUAAUCGGAAUUACUGGGCGUAAAGCGUGCGCAGGCGGUUAUAUAAGACAGAUGUGAAAUCCCCGGGCUCAACCGGGGACCUGCAUUUGUUACUGUAUAGCUGGAGUACGGUAGAGGGGGAUGGAAUUCCGCGUGUAGCAGUGAAAUGCGUAGAUAUGCGGAGGAACACCGAUGGCGAAGGCA